rnacentral:lncRNA from 1 species
GAUAUUUGCUAAGCCCCAAAUCCUUAUUUCCAUGAUUCUUGUUUUUAUUGCUUUAUUUCUUCCAAGCCUUGAUGGAAGUAUGGUUUCAUUUGUUCGUCAGUGCAAAAAUAAGCUGUUUAGAGCAUCUACAUCUCCCCAACAUAUCGGGUGAUUCCUUUGUGUCAAAUUUCAAUAGCAGAAGUUCACUUUGUUUAUUACUUUUGUUCAUGUGCUGUGCAUACAAAUAACUGGCACUAAUAAGAGGUUGUACUCAAUUCAGGUAUAAAAUUUGUUCAAGUAUUGAACAAAAGUGUUAGUUUAGGAGUAUAUUAUAACUUCUGUGAAUAUUUAAAAUGAUGUCCUAUUGGUGCUGUCUAAUUUAGGCAUUCAUAUUAUUGUUCUUUUAAUGCAAUGCUUGGCUUGAUAAUUUUUUUCCUUAUGACAGCAACAGAUAGCACUACUCUUUGGUAGUAUUAGAAAACCUGAAGGUGACAAAGAACACUUGAAAGAAAAUGAUUCUCACUUUCUAUGCAUUCACAGGCAUAGAAAAAAAAAAGGAAUUUCCAUGUUAAGUUUACUGAUUCCAAAGUGUCUUUUUAGCAACACUCAGAAUGCCGGAGAGUAAGCUAUGUCCUGAGUCCUUGACUUUGCUUCUGUUAAAUACUUGCUUGAAAUCUGUGAGGUGCUG